CCUGGAUGCAGCAACGCCGCGUGAGCGAUGAAGGCCUUCGGGUCGUAAAGCUCUGUUCCUAAGGGAAGAAGUGAUGACGGUACCUUAGGAGGAAGCCCCGGCUAACUACGUGCCAGCAGCCGCGGUAAUACGUAGGGGGCGAGCGUUAUCCGGAAUCACUGGGCGUAAAGGGUGCGUAGGCGGCCGAUAAAGUCAGGGGUGAAAGGCUACGGCUUAACCGUAGUAAGCCUUUGAAACUUAUGGGCUUGAGUGCAGGAGAGGAGAGUGGAAUUCCUAGUGUAGCGGUGAAAUGCGUAGAUAUUAGGAGGAACACCAGUGGCGAAGGCGACUCUCUGGACUGUAACUGACGCUGAGGCACGAAAGCGUGGGGAGCGAACAGGAUUAGAUACCCUGGUAGUCCACGCCGUAAACGAUGAGUGCUAGGUGUCGGAGCCGACAGGCUUCGGUGCCGCAGCUAACGCAUUAAGCACUCCGCCUGGGGAGUACGGUCGCAAGACUGAAACUCAAAGGAAUGGACGGA
rnacentral:rRNA from 1 species